rnacentral:rRNA from 1 species
UACGUAGGGUGCAAGCGUUGUCCGGAAUUAUUGGGCGUAAAGAGCUCGUAGGCGGUCUGUCGCGUCUGCUGUGAAAAUCCGGGGCUCAACCCCGGACUUGCAGUGGGUACGGGCAGACUAGAGUGUGGUAGGGGAGACUGGAAUUCCUGGUGUAGCGGUGAAAUGCGUAGAUAUGUGGAGGAACACCGAUGGCGAAGGCAGCCCCCUGGGCCUGCACUGACGCUCAUGCACGAAAGCGUGGGGAGCAAACAGG